GAUCAGCCUAAGCACUGGGCUGUCUCUCUUUCUCGGAAGGUUUGUGUUCUUCAACUUCCAGAGGGAGAACGUGGCAAAACAAGUGCCGGAGCAGAACGGAGUGACCCAUUUUGAGGCCGGAGAUGUUCGUGCUAAGGAAUAUGUGAGCCUAUCAAACGAUCCGGUUGGGUUCAAUAUCGUUGAUGUUCUUGCCUGGGGCUCCAUUGGCCACAUCGUUGCUUACUAUAUCUUGGCCACCUCCAGCAAUGGCUAUGACCCCAAGUUCUUCUAGUUUCAUUUUUAAAUUCUCUGUAACUUUGUCUAGUUUCUAGCUUCUCAUUAUUAGUUGGGAGGUUUCUUUUUAUUUUUCUUGUUUUUGGUUUUAUGAAAAAAUUUAAGGUUCGG
rnacentral:misc_RNA from 1 species